rnacentral:rRNA from 1 species
GAUGAACGCUGGCGGCGUGCCUAAUACAUGCAAGUAGAACGCUGAAGGAAGGAGCUUGCUCUUUCCGGAUGAGUUGCGAACGGGUGAGUAACGCGUAGGUAACCUGCCUGGUAGCGGGGGAUAACUAUUGGAAACGAUAGCUAAUACCGCAUAACAGUAGAUAUUGCAUGAUAUCUGCUUGAAAGGGGCAAUUGCUCCACUACCAGAUGGACCUGCGUUGUAUUAGCUAGUUGGUGAGGUAACGGCUCACCAAGGCGACGAUACAUAGCCGACCUGAGAGGGUGAUCGGCCACACUGGGACUGAGACACGGCCCAGACUCCUACGGGAGGCAGCAGUAGGGAAUCUUCGGCAAUGGACGGAAGUCUGACCGAGCAACGCCGCGUGAGUGAAGAAGGUUUUCGGAUCGUAAAGCUCUGUUGUAAGAGAAGAACGAGUGUGAGAGUGGAAAGUUCACAC